UAAGAGAUUAUGACAUCAGAUCUAGAUUGAAGAAUCUAGAAGACUUCUCUCUGUGGUAUAAACAUUUAGCCUCCAAAGAAUAAACCAGAACUUGGCUGGGCAGACUUGCUCAGGAUGAGAGGUUCCAGGAAUAGGGGGAUGUGGAAAGGCACAGAAGAUACUAGGGGAUUGUGGUGGGUCUUAAGAAAAGAUAGGUACACAAGUUCUCUAGCUGGAACUUAGAGGGUAAAGAAGGGGAAGAAUGCACUGGAGCUGGCACUGGAUAUAGAGCUCCAUAAGCCAUUCUGGCCUCUGUUGACCAGGUAGAAGACAAAACUAUAGUCCACACUCUUCGUCCAAGUAUGAAGGAAAAUAUUACAAAAUGGAAACUGCCAGUAAGGCAAGAACUCUACUUAAAACACAUCAACACACAUGCAGAACUUUCCUUACUUCUGAGGGAGAAAAGAAGAAUGGAGGCAAUGUUCAACCUAAAAAAAGUAUUAUUUCUAAGUGGAAAGCUACAAGCUCUGAAACCAGAACACUGAAACAUCAAACCCUUAUUUCAUGGACCCCUUAACAGUUUAAAAAGAAUCCUUAAGUUUGUCUAAAAUUUUACACAAUGUUAUAUGUCAAUUAUAUUUCAAUAGAGCUGGGAGUGCACAGGGAAAGAAAAUACUUUUAAUUGUUGAGACACUCCAACCUAACAAAAUAUGAAUGCCAAAGUGAGCUUCAUUCUUGGUCAGGGGUGGGCAAUCGCUCUGGAAACAGAACAAAGUCUUAGAGAUCCUGUUAAAACCUCCUGUUUGACAUGGAAGAACUCCAAGCUGUUUGUUACAGGAGAAUCCUGUGUCUUUAGCUUGAAAGCAACACAAUUUCCUAAAGUAUAUUUAUAUAAGCCAUGCAGUUUCACACAAUAUAAUAGUCACCACCAUGAUUCUGAAGAGUCGCAUCUGAUGAGUCAGACACUACCAGUUAUCUUUAAAGGUAACGUAAUAAUUAUACAUCUUAAACAGAUGAAAUGUGAGAAAGGCAGCACUUUGAAGAAAGAGCAGAGCUAGAACUAGACAACUGGAAUCCAAUCUUCAUUCCGAUGCUUAGGUAGAACUCUGGGCAAGCCCCCCCCCCCCUUUACUCUGAGCCUCAGUUUCUUUUCUGAGAAACUCCUAACUUCAGAGUUGUGGUGAUUUAAUGAAAUUAUGUGUUUAAUGCCCCUAGCACAAGAGUACAAGCACUACAAGAACACUAAUAUCCUCCUCUCUCCUUUAUUGUAUCAUCUAAUGUGUU